UAUUAAACAGUGAGUACGGUAGUGUAUUAAACAGAGUGAGUACGGUAGUGUAUUAAACAGAGUGAGUACGGUAGUGUAUUAAACAGAGUGAGUACGGUAGUGUAUUAUUAAACAGAGUGAGUACGGUAGUGUAUUAAACAGAGUGAGUACGGUAGUGUAUUAAACAGAGUGAGUACGGUAGUGUAUUAAACAGAGUGAGUACGGUAGUGUAUUAAACAGAGUGAGUACGGUAGUGUAUUAAACAGAGUGAGUACGGUAGUGUAUUAAACAGAGUGAGUACGGUAGUGUAUUAAACAGAGUGAGUACGGUAGUGUAUUAUUAAACAGAGUACGUACGGUAGUGUAUUAUUAAACAGAGUGAGUACGGUAGUGUAUUAAACAGAGUGAGUACGGUAGUGUAUUAAACAGAGUGAGUACGGUAGUGUAUUAAACAGAGUGAGUACGGUAGUGUAUUAAACAGUGAGUACGGUAGUGUAU
ensembl:lncRNA